AUUGAACGCUGGCGGCAUGCCUUACACAUGCAAGUCGAACGGCAGCGCGGGAGCAAUCCUGGCGGCGAGUGGCGAACGGGUGAGUAAUACAUCGGAACGUGCCCAAUCGUGGGGGAUAACGCAGCGAAAGCUGUGCUAAUACCGCAUACGAUCUACGGAUGAAAGCAGGGGAUCGCAAGACCUUGCGCGCAUGGAGCGGCCGAUGGCAGAUUAGGUAGUUGGUGAGGUAAAGGCUCACCAAGCCUUCGAUCUGUAGCUGGUCUGAGAGGACGACCAGCCACACUGGGACUGAGACACGGCCCAGACUCCUACGGGAGGCAGCAGUGGGGAAUUUUGGACAAAGGGCGAAAGCCUGAUCCAGCCAUGCCGCGUGCAGGAUGAAGGCCUUCGGGUUGUAAACUGCUUUUGUACGGAACGAAACGGUCUUUUCUAAUAAAGAAGGCUAAUGACGGUACCGUAAGAAUAAGCACCGGCUAACUACGUG
rnacentral:rRNA from 1 species